rnacentral:lncRNA from 1 species
GCUUUUCUUAUUUGUCAAAAAUUUUGGGAAGACUCAAUUUCUUGUUAAUUUUCAGGUGUCAAAAUCAAUUGAACUACCAUUAGGACUCUAGGCUGGGGUAGAAUUAUUUUUAUUCUAAUGAUAGAUCAAAUUUGGAAUUUGGGAUAUCCAAUCAUCCGCACUUGAAAACUACUUCUCCUUAAAUUGAUACCACUUGAAUUUCUUAACCUGACCAGUGUUUGUCAAUAUUUUACUAUCAAAGAUAGAGGAAGCCACAUAAAUUAGGGAAAAUCUUGGGAGGUGCCACAGAACUGUGUCAUCGUCCCACAACAUCAGAAUUAUAUUCUGUGAUUUUCACAAUUAAUUAUCCUUAAUAAAUUUGUUAUCAGUCUCCAAGAACAAAGAAUUUCCUUGUUUGAAAAAAUAAUUCCAGUGUAUGGUGCAGGUAAGAAAAUUGAGUUCUAUACAAGGUACUUAGAUUGUGCAGUAGUUAUGGCCAUGGGGUUUGGUUACUGGAAAUGAUAAAACCUACAAAAAUGUCGAGGGUUCAAAUCCCUUCUUAUACAGGGAAUGGGAAGGGAUUUGUUAUAUAUGUAUGUAAUAUUUUAAAAAAUCAAAGUUUAAAAUUAACUAGUAGUGAUAGCUUAUUUUGCAAACCAAAAGACGGGAAAUCCAGUGAAAUUUAGAACCUUAACUAAUUUUUUUUUUUUCCCCCUCCCAAAUGAUUCCGUUUUCUGUUGCAGGUAAGCCAAAUUCUGUACGAGGUACUGAGGUUAUAUUCACCAGCACCUCUGCUUACUCGAGCUAAUGUUAAGGAGAUUAAGCUAGGAGAAAUUGUUAUACCACCUGGAGUUUUACUUUCAUUGCAAAUAAUGCUUGUUCAUCAUGAUCAUGAAUACUGGGGCGAUGAUGCAAAAAAGUUCAACCCAGAUAGGUUUUCAGAAGGAGUCUCAAACGCAUCGAAGAAUCAAAUUUCAUUCUUCUCAUUUGGUUGGGGUCCUCGAAUCUGCCUUGGACAAAACUUUGCUCUGUUGGAAUCGAAAUUAGCUUUAGCAAUGAUUUUGCAGAAGUUCACUUUCCAGCUUUCACCAACUUAUAUGCAUGCUCCUACUCGUGGGGUAACUGUAUAUCCACAGCAUGGUGCUAAUAUCAUUUUACACAAAAUUUAGUAUGCAUUACUAUCGCAAGUAUUCAGAAUUCAUGCCAUAUAAUAUAUGUAGAGCAAGAACUUUAUUAUUUUGAUUUACCGUUUUAAAUUUUCUCAGUACUCUUCUUUCCAAUAAAUUUAGAGAUGCAAUUUGUUUUUUUUCUAUUUAGUGUACAAAGCUGAUUAGGCCUCUUGUGGUGAAAGCAAAAAAAUAAAAACAAAUUAACUUUUCGUGUUUAAAAAAAUUAAAUUAAAUUUUUAAAAAAUAAAAAUUAUUUUUAAACUGUGAGUCAAGCAAUUUUUUUUUUUUUUUUGCAAGCUCAAGCCUAGUCCAAUCUAGAGUGGGUGAAAAACAGGGCUCAAAUCUUGUCUCUAUACAUUGGACCUAAAUGAAAUCCUAACGGUCCAAUCUGGACGAAGUUCAUGCUGAGGAAAAUAGAAAUAAAUAUGACAGAUCAAUGGUUUUGAAGUGUUUAUAACACUUUUUUUAAAGGUUUUUUUUGGGUGUUUGUAGAUCGGAUUUUACAGAUUACAUAUCAAUUUAUAUCCAAUUAAUAAUUUUACGGAUUUUAAAUUGUCAAUCUAAUCAAAUCCACAAAUUGGUGAAAUUCAAUUUAAGUCCAAUUCAUGUGUCUACAAAUCAAAUGCGGAUUUGAUCCAAUACUUAUCUAAUCCACCAUUUUGCAAAUUAGUUUAAAAUUUUGUAAUUAUGUCAAAUCCACAAACUAAUUAAAUAAAAAAUUUUAAUAUAAAAAUAAUUUUACUACCGAUCAAAUUCAAAAUUGAAUAAGAUUUAAAUAAAUUAAUUGUUUAAAUAAAGUUAGAAUAAUGCAUUUAGAGUUUCAAAAUAUACCACAUCGAAAAAAAAAUCUCAUUUAUUUAGAUUAAUACAUAAAAAUUAACUGAAAUUAUGAAAAUUAAAUAUUUUUAAAUAAAAUUAAAUUAAAAGACUUGUAAUCAGCCAAUUUGUCAAAAUAAUAAUAGAUGACAAACAAGUUAGACAAAUUUGUCUAUACAAAGGAUUGUGGAUGGGAGAAUUAUUUGAAAAGUCAGACAAUCCCUUUAUAUGCAAAUUGAUGUGAUCAAGUUACAUAUAUAAAUUCUAACAAAGUGUUUGUGGUUCUAUCAUUACUCAUUUAGAAAUUGUGUUCAAUUCUAGCCGAUCAUUUUAUAAAUUGUUGAAAAGCAUAAAUAUGGAAAAGUCUAGUCACAGGAGUUAAAAUUUUAUCUAGAUAAAAUAGUAAUAACAAAAUAUGUUGGUUAAAAUUAGUGAAAAUAAAACAUUCAACUACUAUUUUUUUUUAUUUUGUCAAUGCCUUAGGAAAUAAAUUACUUGGUCAUAAAAAAUACAAAGUUGUCUAAGACAAAACUUUUAGUUACUAUUUUUAGUUUUGUCACCAUAAUGACUCAUCUACGACUAAAAAAUGAGAUCUUAAAAUUAUAAUAAAUCAAAAUAACUUUAGAGACUAAUAUUAUGUGUUAUUGAUGGUUUCCCUAAAUUUACACCUGUGUUUUAGUUACAAAAUAUUUUUGUCACCUAUAAUUAUAUUUCUCGACCAUUUAUUUUGUCAUGAAUGACUUUUUCUUAAUUGGAUACAUGUAGUAUCUCUUGGAAUAAUCAUCAAUGAAAGUUACCAAGUAUUUUUCACCUCUCAGGAAUAUAUAUGGCAAUUCCUAAAUAUCAUAAUGAAUUAAAUUAAAAAUGCUUCUACUUCUGCCGCUAGAUCUGUUAAACUUGAAUCUAUGUUGCUUGUAAUACAAUGGUCACAAAACGAUGAGUUUUCCUAUUUAAACCUCGGAAGCAACUUUUGCUCAGAGAUAAUCUUUAAACCUUAUUUCGACAUGUGGCUAAGUUUGAGAUGCCACAUUAUUGUCAAUUCUUCUUCAUUUGACGUGACACAUCAUCUUCUUGUAGUGUUUCCCCUUUAAGCAUGAAUAAAAUUAACACCGAUCUUUUCCACCUUCAUCAAUACAAAUACGCCUUUAACAUCCCAUUUUUCAUAUGAGCUUUGCGUCCAAGACACUCUAUUCGUCCUAAAGACAAUAAAUUCUUUUUCAUGCCUUUGACAUGUCAAUCUCCUUAAUUGUGGGAACUGUACCAUCAAACAUUUUUCUUUUGAUAGCACUAAUACCAGAGAUUUCCAAGUCACCCAUGUACACAUAUUCUCUUUAAAAGGUCCAUAUUUGUGGAACCAUUCUUUUUAAAAGGCCAUGUGCCAUGUUGCUCCCAAGUCUAUAAGCCAAAUGUCAACCAAAUGCUUCCUGUUUUCCGCAAGAAUUGCUGUCUCGCUGUAGAGAAUUUUUCCAUCAUCAAAAGUACUUACCGUACAAUCAUGAGCAUUUGAUGACUCAACUUCAUUGUCUCUACUUUGCUUAUUUUUCCAACACUCUUUCUUGAUGUGCCCUUUCUUGCCGUAAUUGUAGCAUUUAACAUUCUUGUUACUUCUUGAUUUUGAUCUACUAUGAUUGCGACCUCUACUGGGGCCACGUUCUGUUGAUCUAUUUCUAGUCAUCGAUAAUGCUUUUGCUUGCUGCGAACUUGCCUGCCUACCUUCCUUGUUUUUUUUGUUUGCUUUCUUCAUUUAAUAUAGAGGUUGCAACAUUGCCAAAGACUAGACUGUCUAUUUGGUUAUUGUUUAUUAGAUUAAUGAUGAGUUGAUUGUAUGAAUUUGAAGAGUGUAAAGAUUCCUUUUUAAGAAAAUCUUGUUUUGGAAAGACUUGUCCUCGUACAAUUUUGUAAGAGUAUCUCAUAUUUUCUUUGCUAUCUUUUUCUCUCCUCACUAGAUAACACUUCAUUAGCCAGUGCUAAAUGUAGAUCCGUAGUUGCAUUAUUGUCUACCUCGUUCCACUUGGCAUCAUCAGUUAUCUCCAUGGACUUUUCUCUUAUUGUUACCAUGCAAUUUUUUUUUCCUCAAAAUAGCCUUCACUUUUAUUUUCUACAAUGACGAAUUAUUUCCGUUGAACUUCUCAAUUUCGUAUUUGCCAUCAGUGCUUUUUCACCACGAACUACCUUUGCUAAGAUUGGCUCCCAUCAUUUCACGUGAAUACUAACCAUAUAUGUGAACAAUACUAUAUACGUGAAUAGUACUGUGACAACCAACUUGGCUCUAAUACCACUAUUAAGAAAUUAAUGGUGAAGUAGGGCCACAACUAAAAUGAAAUUGGAGAAAAAUAAAGAAUAAGCAUACAAAGAGGACACUAGAAAUUACAUGAUUAAGCUUUUAACCUAUAUCUAUAGGCAAAGACAGAAGGAUAAAACUUGACUAGUGCAAAGAAGAUUAUAAGUAUUGUAAGAUUUUACCCUUACUUUCUAGAACCCAAUACACCCAAUCGUUUAAUCACUAAACUCUCAAGAGUUUACUAUUUGAGCUCUCAAAACUCUCAGCUUCUCGCUCUUGAUAGAAGAAGCGAUUUGAAGAAAAAAAAUGGAAUUUUUUUUUGAUGAAAUGGGCAUUAAUUUACAAUUUAUGGGGAACUCCCCUUUUAUAGCCAAAAUCAUCUAUUAUUUUAAUUUCUUCUUUUUUUUUUGUCCUUCUCGUGGCUUCUUCAAUGUCGAAGCCAUAAACUGCCAUUUUCCUUCAAACUUUUUGGCGCCGAUCACUAUUUGUCAAAUUCAACAUUUGCGGCUUCUUCAUUUGCGGCACCGGCUUCUACAUUUGAUUGCCAAGCCAACAAGUCACAGACAGAAGAAGAAGCACUCGGUUACUAUCGAUGGUUGUUAAGUAGUCAAACAUCUAAGAUGAAAAAAACAUUUAGGCAAUCUACGGUCUCAUUUUUUCCUUUCCCAAAAAAAUCCCUGCACGAUCCCCUCUUCAAUUUCCAAUUUUAUUAUUCCCUUUUCAUUUUUAAUAUUUUUCCCUUUGCAAAUCCUCUUUAAAAUCGUUUGAUCAAGUAGCCUAUCACUCUUAAAAAUAACCAGUUCAAGUGGUUGACUACUUGUUACUACUUUUUGAUAAGUUUCAUGACAUGGAUUCAAAUUAAAACACAUUUGAUGCUCUCAGAUUCUCUACACUGUAAGUUACGUAAACAUAACUGAGGAAUUGCCUAAUAUAAAUUAUUAAAAAUAUAUUUUAUUAAAAAUAUCAUGUCUUUCCACACGUUUUAGAAGUUUUUGGGAUUGAUGCCAACUUAGAGUUAUCCAAGUCUUUUCUUUUUAAAUAAAUAAAUAAAUCAUUCUACAUUUUGGUUCAUACAGAGCACGAAUAUAGCCACAAUCAAAUUCGACAGUUAUGUUUCUCAUUUUGUAGAAAACUCUAUUGUAUAAAAUUCACUACUACAAAAUUAGUCUUUAAUGACGGUUUUAAAAGACAUAAGAUGACGGUUUUAGGCAGCGACAUUAAAAAGGGUACACCGUUUAUGACAGUUCAAAAACCGUCAUUAAAUGUAUACAUAUAAUGACGAUUAUUUUAUUAAAUAGUCAUUAUUUGAGAUAUAUUCUAGAGUUUUAAUGACGGUUUUUUCUUAAAAAUCGUCAUAAAAAAUACCAUUCAAUGAAGGUUCUUUAAAGAACGAUCAUCGAUAGCACUUUAGCAUAUAUUUUUAAUGACAGUUUUCUUCAAAACCGUCAUUAAAUGUCAAUUUUUAAUGACGGUUUUAUAUAAAACUGUCAUCUUGUAUAGGUCUUUGAUGACUGUUCUUAUAUAAGAACCGUCAUCUUUUGCAUGAGUAAAAAGAAAAAAAAUAGUAAUUUAAAAUUACCAUGCUUUAACUAUUUUUUUAGAUUAAAAUUUAUAUAGUUGUUUUCACAUUCUAAACCGUACAAUUGAAGCUGCAUUUGCAAAAUUUUAAUUUAUAUUACACAUUGAUAUAAUUAUCAUUUACAUACAAAGAACUCAAAUACAUACAAGCUUCAUUAUAACAGUUUAACGCCUAAAUAACCUUGAUCAAAGUAACUCCUAAUAAUGAAAAAAUAUGCUACACGAAUUCUCAAAUUAAAAUCUUGUCAAAGUCAUGGUUGGCACCACCCUUCUAGAUGGGCGGUGCCAAACCAUCAACAUUUUCAACAGGCUCGCCAUUUUUGGUGGUGCUGAAAUGCUUGAAGAAGAAAAAGGAGAAAAAAGAACAAAAGAAAAAAGAAGAAAGAAGAAGCUGAAAAAUUUGAAAGGAAAAAUAAUAAAAUAUUAAUAGUAUUAUUUUAUUAAAAAAAGGAAGGGAAAUGAAGCCUAUAAAUAGAAGGCUUCAAUUUCCCUCUCGGCAUCCCAUUCUUCAGUUUUUAAUCUUUUGUCAGAGAGGAAAAAUUAAGAGUCUUAAUACUCUUGUGUAAUUAGUGAGUGAGAGAUUUGGUGUAUUGAGGUUUUGGGAAGUGAGCCAAAAUAUUACAAUACUUGUAAUCUUCAUAUCACUAGUGAAAUAUUUUCCUUCUAUAUUCGCCCGUGGACGUAGGCUAAAAGCCGAACCACAUAAUUUUUUGGUGUCCUCUUUUGUGCUUGUUCUUUAUUUUCUUCCAAUUUCAUUUUAGCUGUGGUCUUCCUUCACCCAUCAAUUUCCUAGUAGUGGUAUCAGAGUUAAGUUGUAUUUUUUGGAGUCGGGCUAUUGUUCACGUAAAAGUAUUAUUCACAUAUAUGGUAUUGUUCACGUAUACGAUACUGUUAACGUAUAUGAUACUAUUCAUGUAUACGACUCUGUUCAUAUAUACAAUUACUGUUCACGUGAAACGGUGGGAGCCAAUCCUAGUAAAGUUAGUUUUUGGUGAAAAACAAUGGCAGCAAAAUACGAAAUUGAGAAGUUCAACGGAAAUAAUUUUUCGUUGUGAAAAAUAAAGAUAAAAGUUGUAUUGAGGAAAAAUAACUGCUUGACAGCAAUUGGAGAAAAGCCCACGGAGAUAACUGAUGACAAGUGGAACAAGAUAAACAGCAUCGCCAUUUCUGAUCUACACUUGGCACUUGCGGAUGGAGUAUUAUCUAGUGUGGCAGAGAAAAAGACAGCAAAGGAAAUAUGAGAUACUCUCACAAAAUUGUACGAGGCCAAUUCGCUGCACAACAAGAUCUUCUUAAAAAUAAGACUCUAUACUCUUCGAAUGACGGAAUUUACAUCAGUGAUUGACCACAUCAAUACCUUAAAGACUCUAUUUUCACAACUCAUAACGUUGGGUCAUAAUAUAGAGGAAAAUGUACGUACAGAGCUUCGAUUUCAAAGUCUACCAGAUUCGUAUGAUUAAGUCAUUAUCAGCCUUACAAACAACAAUUCAGCGGACAAUCUAGUUUUCGACGAUGUUGCCGCUUCCAUAUUAAAUGAAGAAAGCAGACGGAAAAAUAAAGAAGACAGACAAACAAGUUCAUAGUAAGCAAAAACACUAUCGGUAACAAGAGAGAGAUCAACAGAAAUUGGCCCUAGUGGGAGUCACAAUCAUGGUAGGUUAAAAUCAAGAAGUAAGAAGAAUGUCAAAUAGUACAAUUGUGGCAAGAAAGGGCACGUCAAGAAAGAGUGUUGGAGUAACCAAAAAAGAAAAGAAUGUAAAGAACAUGAGUCAUCAAAUGCUCAGGGGUGUGUAGCAAGUACCUCAGAUGAUAGUGAAAUUCUCUACAGUAAGGCAGCAACUGUUUCAAAAGGCAGAAAAUGGCUAUCUGACGUCUGGCUUAUAGACUCAGGAGCUACUUGACAUAUGACCUCUCAGAGAGAAUGGUUCCACACAUAUGAACCUAUCUUAGGAGGAUCUGUAUAUAUGAGAGAUGAUCAUGCCGUGGAGAUCGUUGGCAUUGGUACUAUCAAAAUAAAAUAUUUGAUGGUAUUCGCACAAUUAGGGAGGUACGACAUGUCAAAUGCUUGAGGAAUAAUCUAUUGUCUUUAGGAAAAAUGGAUAGUCAUGGGUAGAAAACUCAUGGGUAUAAUGAAAUUACGAAGAUUAUUAAAGGCACGCUUGUAUUUAUGAAGGCAGAAAAGAUCAAUGCUAAUAUAUUUAUGCUUAAAGGGGAAACAUUGUAGGAAGCUGAUGCGUGUGUUGCAUCAAAUGGAGAAGAGUCAAUGAUGAUAUGGCAUCUCAAAAUUGGCCACAUGUCGGAAUAAGGUUUGAAGAUUCUCUCUGAGCGAAAAUUGCUUCUAAGGCUCAAAUCAGUAAGCUUAUAAUUUUACGAGCAUUGUAUUACAAGUAAGCAACAUAGAUUAAUCUUCAGCAGAUCUAUUGCUAGAAGUAAAUGCAUUCUAUAUUUAGUUCACUCUGAUGUUUGUGAAUCACCAGACAUAUCCAUGAGAGGUGCAAAGUAUAUGAUGAAAUUCAUUGAUGAUUAUUUCAGGAGAUGUUGGGUGUAUCCAAUUAAGAAAAAGUCAGAUGUAUUUUUAGUGUUUAAAGAAUACAAAGCGUGGGUGGAACUUGAAUCUGGCAAAAGGAUUAAGUGCUUGAGGACAUAUAAUGGUGGCGAGUAUAUAGACGGCGAGUUUCAUACUUUCUGUAAGCAAGAAAAUAUUAAGAGACAGUUCAUGGUAGCAAACACUCCUCAACAAAAUGGAGUGGCAGAGCAGAUGAACAAGACUCUUACAGAACGAAUAAGAGCUAUGUUGAGGACUGCGGGUCUACCCAAUUUAUUAUGGGCAGAAGCAACCAAAACUGCCUGUUAUAUAGUAAAUCGGUCGCCAUCCACAACAAUUGGGCUGAAGAUAGCGAUGGAGAGGAGGAGCUCGGGCACAAACAAGAGAAAAUUUCUGUAUUUUGUGACAGUCAAAGUGCCUUUCACAUUGCAAGGAAUUCAACCUUUCAUUUUAGGACAAAGCACAUAGGAGUUCAAUAUCACUUUGUUCGAGAAAUAGUGGAAGACAGAAAUAUGAAUUUAUAGAAAAUCCAUACAAAGGAGAACUUAGCAGAUGUUAUGACCAAACAAAUCAAUAUUGACAAGUUUGUAUGGAGUAGAUCCUCUUGUGGCCUAGUAGAGACGUAAGCAGCAUAACAAUGGCGAAACAGAAAGGAUGGUGUGGAGAUUAAUUGAUCCUUAAUCAAAUCUCCAAGUGGGAGAAUGUCAAAGUCAUGGUUGGCACCACCCUUCUAGAUGGGCAGUGCCAAACCAUCAACAUUUUUAACACGGCCCGCCAUUUUUUAUGGUGCCGAACUACUUGAAGAAGAAAAAAGAGAAAAAAGAGAAAAAAAGAACAAAAGAAGAAAGAAGAAGCCGAAAGAUUUGAAAGGAAAAAUAAUAAAAUAUUAAUAAUAUUAUUUUAUUGGAAAAAAGGAGGGGAAAUGAAGCCUAUAAAUAGAAGGCUUCAAUUCCCCUCUCGGCAUCCCAUUCUUCAGUUUUUCAAUCUUUUGUGAGAGAGGAAAAAUUAAGAGUUUUAAUACUCUUGUGUAAUUAGUGAGUGAGAGAUUGGGUGUAUAGGGGUUUUGAGAAGUGAGCCAAAAUAUUACAAUACUUGUAAUUCUCAUAUCACUAGGGAAAUAUUUUUUUUCUGUAUUCGCUCGUGGACGUAGGUUAAAAGCUGAACCACGUAAUUUUAUGGUGUUCUCUUUUGUGCUUGUUCUUUAUUUUCUUCUAAUUUCAUUUUACCUGUGACCCUACUUCACCCAUCAAUUUCCUAACAAAUCCAGUAUCAUAUAAUUAUACAAACAAAUAUAGAAACUAAAAAAUAAAUAGAGACUACAUUUUGUGCUUACAUAAGGUGGUAUUUGCACUUGGAACAUUUACACUGAGCCAGCAAGCUUGCCCUUCAAAAACUAAAUCCUUGCUCAGAAUUAUACACAAAGCAUGCUUUGCAAAGUAGUUCUUGUCUUGCAACUAGGCUUACCAAUGUAGUUCCUGUUAAAUCAAUACUUAUCGCAGCCUAAGUAUCAUCAUUUUCAUUGGUUGGCUGCAAAGAACAGAAACAAAAAAUUCAAAUCAAAGGUAAAGCUAAACAAAUUGACUUUUAAAGUAAAGAAAAAAGACAGAGCCUUAAAAAAUUCCCAAGUAUCACCAUUUUCACCAAUGAUUUAUUACGUUAUGGGCAAUGAUAUUCGGCCGCCACGAGACCAUAACGAAGCCAGAAACACAUGCUUCUUCUACCGUUUCGAAGUUUUAAAUUUGAAAAUUAAAAAUACAUUUUGCCAUUGAAAAAUAUCAAAAUUAAAUCUAAAGAAUUUGAAAAUUCCAAAAUUCUUACCCGUCCCUCUCACUCGCUUAUUCUCUCUCUCUCUCUCUCUCACCUUCCCUCUCACUCACCCGAUCUGUCUCUCUCACUCACCCACUAGCAAGCUGUUUCUCUCAGGCUGUCACUCACCCACGAAACUUGUUGUCACGCCGCGCCCAUCGUUGACCAGCCAUCAUCGCUGUCACGCCAUGCCCAUCGCCGACCAGCCCAUCACCGACCACGUCGCCGACCAGCCUUACUUGAAGGUGUGCUUGACGAUUUUGGACCUUUUUCACCUACCUAGGUAAUUAAAUUUAGCAUGUUGAGGAAAGUUUUGAUUUAUUGUAUUUAUAUUUUAAAAUUAUUAGAAAUAAGAUAUUUGAAAUGUAGAUUUUGUUUGAAUUAUAUAUGAUUAAUACAAUUUAUUUUUCAUGGUAUAAAAAUGAAGGAUUUGGAAAAAAACUACAAAGUCGAAGAUUUUGAAGAAUUAGAUUAACAACAAUUUAAAUGGAAAUAAUGAAAAAACUGAUAAUGAUGUGGAUGUGAAACCAAAAAAGUAUGAUGUUGUUUGAUAAACACCAUUAUCUUCUUAUGAGCCAAAAAAGGAAGAAUUAGAUGACAACAAUUAAGGUGAGAUUAAACUACUUAAUUAUUCUACAAUUAAUUUAAUUUUAAUUUUAAUGUAUCUUUUUAUGGAUUUGCAGGAUUCAAAUGUACAAACACCAUUAUCUUCUGAGGUGGAUAUUGUAGUCCCAACGCAUGAGAGCAAUAAGGAUCCUGUAAGUUUUAUGUUCUUUGAUGUAAUACUAUUUAAUUAUUUUAAUUUUUAAUGGUCACUAAAUAAUGGUCAUUAUUUAAGAACCUGUGAUCGCAUACCAAUUACAAGGAUGUGAUAUUUAUCCAUGGUUUCCUUUUGAUUCUUACAUUGCAAGUUAUAAUCCAGUUUCUAUAUUUAUGCCUAGUUAAUUUUGCAUUUUCUGGAAUGUAAUAUGGUGUUCUUAUUUUGUACAAACUAGCAAUCCCCAUCACUCCCAUCUAUGUUGCCUUAUUCUUCAUCUUGGAUAUCGUAUAAAGGUUCUCAACAAAGGAGUUUUCAGUAAUCGCUACUUCAACAGAAUGAUAAUAACAAAGAAGUUUGAAGCAGACUUAACAGAUUGAUCAUUGACUUAUUCUUUUGUUGUGUUUUGUGUAUUAGUUGGUUGGAUGAUAUUACUCUAGUGCUCAAUGAUUGAACGUGGAAAUAUUUUGAAGGGUUUUUAUCCAUAUAUUCAAAGGGUUAAGUGUGUCAAUAAACCAUUACAACAAUAAGAGUAGUUCAUAUAGAAAUGUCAAAUUAACCACACACAAAAGAAAAAGGUACAAAUAACUUAUUUCUAGUAAUUUUAAAAUAUAAAUACAAAAAAAAACCAAAUACUUUUCUAAUCAAAGUAUCACAUACAAGGUUUCGUAAAGGCCGUGUCAAAAGAAUUUCUUUAACUGAUUAAAUAUACUAAUUUUAGGUGACAAUAAUCUAAUAAUUUUAAACUAAAUUAACUUAAUUUCGCGAAAAAAAAUUCAAAAAACGCAUAGAAUUACGGAUCAAGUCUAAUUAACAAUCAAACGUAGUAACUCAGAUGCAUUUAUGCCAAAAAGAAUGUUCAUAAGACUACACAAAACCACCCAAAAAAAUUAUAAAAUAAUAAAAGCAACAGCUGCGAUAGAUUUUGCCAGAACAAGAAACACAACAAAACAAAGAGAAUAAAUCAAUCAAGGGCAUAAAUAGAUUGAACAAAAAAGGGCAAGAUCAGAGAAGAAACUGACCCACGACACUGGAUCAUGCUAAGCCUAGCGUCAUGGUGGUGGUUUUGAUGAUGCGUUAGCUGAGAUCUGAGUAAAAUAUUGAUAGUGAGCUUGUGGGUGAGUGAGAGGGGAACGAGCUUCGUGGGUGAGAGUGAGAGCCGAGAGGGACAGAGCGGGUGAGAGAGAGGGGGUGAGUGAGGGGAGGGAUAAGAAUUUAGAUUUUUAAUUUGUUUUGAUUAGCUUUUAUUAGUUUUUAAUGGUAAAAUUUGUUUUUAAUUCUCAAAUCUAAAANNNNNNNNNNNNNNNNNNNNNNNNNNNNNNNNNNNNNNNNNNNNNNNNNNNNNNNNNNNNNNNNNNNNNNNNNNNNNNNNNNNNNNNNNNNNNNNNNNNNNNNNNNNNNNNNNNNNNNNNNNNNNNNNNNNNNNNNNNNNNNNNNNNNNNNNNNNNNNNNNNNNNNNNNNNNNNNNNNNNNNNNNNNNNNNNNNNNNNNNNNNNNNNNNNAUUGUCUCUACUUUGCUUAUUUUUCCAACACUCUUUCUUGACAUGCCCUUUCUUGCCGUAAUUGUAGCAUUUAACAUUCUUGUUACUUCUUGAUUUUGAUCUACUAUGAUUACGACCUCCACUGGGGCCACAUUUUGUUGAUCUAUUUCUAGUCAUCGAUAAUGCUUUUGCUUGCUGCGAACUUGCCUACCUACAUUCCUUGUUUUUUUUGUUUGCUUUCUUCAUUUAAUAUAGAGGUUACAACAUUGCCCAAGACUAGACUAUCUAUUUGGUUAUUGUUUGUUAGAUUAAUGAUGAGUUGAUCGUAUGAAUUUGAAAAGUGUAAAGAUUCCUUUUUAAGAAAAUCUUGUUUUGUAAAGACUUGUCCUCGUACAAUUUUGUAAGAGUAUCCCAUAUUUUCUUUGCUCUCUUUUUCUCUCCACACUAGAAAACACUUCAUUAGCCAGUGCUAAAUGUAGAUCCGUAGUUGCAUUAUUGUCUACCUCGUUCCACUUGGCAUCAUCAGUUAUCUCCAUGGACUUUUCUCUUAUUGUUACCAUGCAAUUUUUGUUUCCUCAAAAUAGCCUUCAUCUUUAUUUUCUACAACGACGAAUUAUUUUCGUUGAACUUCUCAAUUUCGUAUUUUGCCACCAUUGUUUUUUCACCACGAACUACAUUUGCUAAGAUUGGCUCCCAUCGUUUCACGUGAAUACUAACCAUAUAUGUGAACAAUACUAUAUAUGUGAAUAGUACUGUGACAACCAACUUGGCUCUAAUACCACUAUUAGGAAAUUAAUGGUGAAGCAGAGCCACAAUAAAAUGAAAUUAGAGAAAAAUAAAGAAUAAGCAUACAAAGAGGACGCUAGAAAUUACAUGAUUAAGCUUUUAACCUAUAUCUAUAGGCAAAGACAGAAGGAUAAAACUUGACUAGUGCAAAGAAGAUUAUAAGUAUUGUAAGAUUUUACCCUUACUUUCUAGAACCCAAUACACCCAAUCGUUUAAUCACUAAACUCUCAAGAGUUUACUAUUUGAGCUCUCAAAACUCUCAGCUUCUCGCUCUUGAUAGAAGAAGCGAUUUGAAGAAAAAAAAUGGAAUUUUUUUUUGAUGAAAUGGGCAUUAAUUUACAAUUUAUGGGGAACUCCCCUUUUAUAGCCAAAAUCAUCUAUUAUUUUAAUUUCUUCUUUUUUUUUGUCCUUCUCGUGGCUUCUUCAAUGUCGAAGCCAUAAACUGCCAUUUUCCUUCAAACUUUUUGGCACUGAUCAUUAUUUGUCAAAUUUAACAUUUGCGGCUUCUUCCUUUGCGGCACCGGCUUCUACAUUUGAUAGCCAAGCCAAGAAGCCGCAGACAGAAGAAGAAGUACUCGGUUACUAUCGAUGGUUGUUAAGCAGUCAAACAGCCAAGAUGAAAAAAACAUUUAGGCAAUCUAUGGUCUCAUUUUUUCCUUUCGCAAAAAAUCCAUGCACGAUCCCCUCUUCAAUUUCCAAUUUUAUUAUUCCCUUUUCAUUUUUAAUAUUUUUCCCUUUGCAAAUCCUCUUUAAAAUCGUUUGAUCAAGUAGCCUAUCACUCUUAAAAAUAACCAGUUCAAGUGGUUGACUACUUGUUACUACUUUUUGAUAAGUUUCAUGACAUGGAUUCAAAUUAAAACACAUUUGAUGCUCUCAGAUUCUCUACACUGUAAGUUACGUAAACAUAACUGAGGAAUUGCCUAAUAUAAAUUAUUAAAAAUAUAUUUUAUUAAAAAUAUCAUGUCUUUCCACACGUUUUAGAAGUUUUUGGGAUUGAUGCCAACUUAGAGUUAUCCAAGUCUUUUCUUUUUAAAUAAAUAAAUAAAUCAUUCUACAUUUUGGUUCAUACAGAGCACGAAUAUAGCCACAAUCAAAUUCGACAGUUAUGUUUCUCAUUUUGUAGAAAACUCUAUUGUAUAAAAUUCACUACUACAAAAUUAGUCUUUAAUGACGGUUUUAAAAGACAUAAGAUGACGGUUUUAGGCAGCGACAUUAAAAAGGGUACACCGUUUAUGACAGUUCAAAAACCGUCAUUAAAUGUAUACAUAUAAUGACGAUUAUUUUAUUAAAUAGUCAUUAUUUGAGAUAUAUUCUAGAGUUUUAAUGACGGUUUUUUCUUAAAAAUCGUCAUAAAAAAUACCAUUCAAUGAAGGUUCUUUAAAGAACGAUCAUCGAUAGCACUUUAGCAUAUAUUUUUAAUGACAGUUUUCUUCAAAACCGUCAUUAAAUGUCAAUUUUUAAUGACGGUUUUAUAUAAAACUGUCAUCUUGUAUAGGUCUUUGAUGACUGUUCUUAUAUAAGAACCGUCAUCUUUUGCAUGAGUAAAAAGAAAAAAAAUAGUAAUUUAAAAUUACCAUGCUUUAACUAUUUUUUUAGAUUAAAAUUUAUAUAGUUGUUUUCACAUUCUAAACCGUACAAUUGAAGCUGCAUUUGCAAAAUUUUAAUUUAUAUUACACAUUGAUAUAAUUAUCAUUUACAUACAAAGAACUCAAAUACAUACAAGCUUCAUUAUAACAGUUUAACGCCUAAAUAACCUUGAUCAAAGUAACUCCUAAUAAUGAAAAAAUAUGCUACACGAAUUCUCAAAUUAAAAUCUUGUCAAAGUCAUGGUUGGCACCACCCUUCUAGAUGGGCGGUGCCAAACCAUCAACAUUUUCAACAGGCUCGCCAUUUUUGGUGGUGCUGAAAUGCUUGAAGAAGAAAAAGGAGAAAAAAGAACAAAAGAAAAAAGAAGAAAGAAGAAGCUGAAAAAUUUGAAAGGAAAAAUAAUAAAAUAUUAAUAGUAUUAUUUUAUUAAAAAAAGGAAGGGAAAUGAAGCCUAUAAAUAGAAGGCUUCAAUUUCCCUCUCGGCAUCCCAUUCUUCAGUUUUUAAUCUUUUGUCAGAGAGGAAAAAUUAAGAGUCUUAAUACUCUUGUGUAAUUAGUGAGUGAGAGAUUUGGUGUAUUGAGGUUUUGGGAAGUGAGCCAAAAUAUUACAAUACUUGUAAUCUUCAUAUCACUAGUGAAAUAUUUUCCUUCUAUAUUCGCCCGUGGACGUAGGCUAAAAGCCGAACCACAUAAUUUUUUGGUGUCCUCUUUUGUGCUUGUUCUUUAUUUUCUUCCAAUUUCAUUUUAGCUGUGGUCUUCCUUCACCCAUCAAUUUCCUAGUAGUGGUAUCAGAGUUAAGUUGUAUUUUUUGGAGUCGGGCUAUUGUUCACGUAAAAGUAUUAUUCACAUAUAUGGUAUUGUUCACGUAUACGAUACUGUUAACGUAUAUGAUACUAUUCAUGUAUACGACUCUGUUCAUAUAUACAAUUACUGUUCACGUGAAACGGUGGGAGCCAAUCCUAGUAAAGUUAGUUUUUGGUGAAAAACAAUGGCAGCAAAAUACGAAAUUGAGAAGUUCAACGGAAAUAAUUUUUCGUUGUGAAAAAUAAAGAUAAAAGUUGUAUUGAGGAAAAAUAACUGCUUGACAGCAAUUGGAGAAAAGCCCACGGAGAUAACUGAUGACAAGUGGAACAAGAUAAACAGCAUCGCCAUUUCUGAUCUACACUUGGCACUUGCGGAUGGAGUAUUAUCUAGUGUGGCAGAGAAAAAGACAGCAAAGGAAAUAUGAGAUACUCUCACAAAAUUGUACGAGGCCAAUUCGCUGCACAACAAGAUCUUCUUAAAAAUAAGACUCUAUACUCUUCGAAUGACGGAAUUUACAUCAGUGAUUGACCACAUCAAUACCUUAAAGACUCUAUUUUCACAACUCAUAACGUUGGGUCAUAAUAUAGAGGAAAAUGUACGUACAGAGCUUCGAUUUCAAAGUCUACCAGAUUCGUAUGAUUAAGUCAUUAUCAGCCUUACAAACAACAAUUCAGCGGACAAUCUAGUUUUCGACGAUGUUGCCGCUUCCAUAUUAAAUGAAGAAAGCAGACGGAAAAAUAAAGAAGACAGACAAACAAGUUCAUAGUAAGCAAAAACACUAUCGGUAACAAGAGAGAGAUCAACAGAAAUUGGCCCUAGUGGGAGUCACAAUCAUGGUAGGUUAAAAUCAAGAAGUAAGAAGAAUGUCAAAUAGUACAAUUGUGGCAAGAAAGGGCACGUCAAGAAAGAGUGUUGGAGUAACCAAAAAAGAAAAGAAUGUAAAGAACAUGAGUCAUCAAAUGCUCAGGGGUGUGUAGCAAGUACCUCAGAUGAUAGUGAAAUUCUCUACAGUAAGGCAGCAACUGUUUCAAAAGGCAGAAAAUGGCUAUCUGACGUCUGGCUUAUAGACUCAGGAGCUACUUGACAUAUGACCUCUCAGAGAGAAUGGUUCCACACAUAUGAACCUAUCUUAGGAGGAUCUGUAUAUAUGAGAGAUGAUCAUGCCGUGGAGAUCGUUGGCAUUGGUACUAUCAAAAUAAAAUAUUUGAUGGUAUUCGCACAAUUAGGGAGGUACGACAUGUCAAAUGCUUGAGGAAUAAUCUAUUGUCUUUAGGAAAAAUGGAUAGUCAUGGGUAGAAAACUCAUGGGUAUAAUGAAAUUACGAAGAUUAUUAAAGGCACGCUUGUAUUUAUGAAGGCAGAAAAGAUCAAUGCUAAUAUAUUUAUGCUUAAAGGGGAAACAUUGUAGGAAGCUGAUGCGUGUGUUGCAUCAAAUGGAGAAGAGUCAAUGAUGAUAUGGCAUCUCAAAAUUGGCCACAUGUCGGAAUAAGGUUUGAAGAUUCUCUCUGAGCGAAAAUUGCUUCUAAGGCUCAAAUCAGUAAGCUUAUAAUUUUACGAGCAUUGUAUUACAAGUAAGCAACAUAGAUUAAUCUUCAGCAGAUCUAUUGCUAGAAGUAAAUGCAUUCUAUAUUUAGUUCACUCUGAUGUUUGUGAAUCACCAGACAUAUCCAUGAGAGGUGCAAAGUAUAUGAUGAAAUUCAUUGAUGAUUAUUUCAGGAGAUGUUGGGUGUAUCCAAUUAAGAAAAAGUCAGAUGUAUUUUUAGUGUUUAAAGAAUACAAAGCGUGGGUGGAACUUGAAUCUGGCAAAAGGAUUAAGUGCUUGAGGACAUAUAAUGGUGGCGAGUAUAUAGACGGCGAGUUUCAUACUUUCUGUAAGCAAGAAAAUAUUAAGAGACAGUUCAUGGUAGCAAACACUCCUCAACAAAAUGGAGUGGCAGAGCAGAUGAACAAGACUCUUACAGAACGAAUAAGAGCUAUGUUGAGGACUGCGGGUCUACCCAAUUUAUUAUGGGCAGAAGCAACCAAAACUGCCUGUUAUAUAGUAAAUCGGUCGCCAUCCACAACAAUUGGGCUGAAGAUAGCGAUGGAGAGGAGGAGCUCGGGCACAAACAAGAGAAAAUUUCUGUAUUUUGUGACAGUCAAAGUGCCUUUCACAUUGCAAGGAAUUCAACCUUUCAUUUUAGGACAAAGCACAUAGGAGUUCAAUAUCACUUUGUUCGAGAAAUAGUGGAAGACAGAAAUAUGAAUUUAUAGAAAAUCCAUACAAAGGAGAACUUAGCAGAUGUUAUGACCAAACAAAUCAAUAUUGACAAGUUUGUAUGGAGUAGAUCCUCUUGUGGCCUAGUAGAGACGUAAGCAGCAUAACAAUGGCGAAACAGAAAGGAUGGUGUGGAGAUUAAUUGAUCCUUAAUCAAAUCUCCAAGUGGGAGAAUGUCAAAGUCAUGGUUGGCACCACCCUUCUAGAUGGGCAGUGCCAAACCAUCAACAUUUUUAACACGGCCCGCCAUUUUUUAUGGUGCCGAACUACUUGAAGAAGAAAAAAGAGAAAAAAGAGAAAAAAAGAACAAAAGAAGAAAGAAGAAGCCGAAAGAUUUGAAAGGAAAAAUAAUAAAAUAUUAAUAAUAUUAUUUUAUUGGAAAAAAGGAGGGGAAAUGAAGCCUAUAAAUAGAAGGCUUCAAUUCCCCUCUCGGCAUCCCAUUCUUCAGUUUUUCAAUCUUUUGUGAGAGAGGAAAAAUUAAGAGUUUUAAUACUCUUGUGUAAUUAGUGAGUGAGAGAUUGGGUGUAUAGGGGUUUUGAGAAGUGAGCCAAAAUAUUACAAUACUUGUAAUUCUCAUAUCACUAGGGAAAUAUUUUUUUUCUGUAUUCGCUCGUGGACGUAGGUUAAAAGCUGAACCACGUAAUUUUAUGGUGUUCUCUUUUGUGCUUGUUCUUUAUUUUCUUCUAAUUUCAUUUUACCUGUGACCCUACUUCACCCAUCAAUUUCCUAACAAAUCCAGUAUCAUAUAAUUAUACAAACAAAUAUAGAAACUAAAAAAUAAAUAGAGACUACAUUUUGUGCUUACAUAAGGUGGUAUUUGCACUUGGAACAUUUACACUGAGCCAGCAAGCUUGCCCUUCAAAAACUAAAUCCUUGCUCAGAAUUAUACACAAAGCAUGCUUUGCAAAGUAGUUCUUGUCUUGCAACUAGGCUUACCAAUGUAGUUCCUGUUAAAUCAAUACUUAUCGCAGCCUAAGUAUCAUCAUUUUCAUUGGUUGGCUGCAAAGAACAGAAACAAAAAAUUCAAAUCAAAGGUAAAGCUAAACAAAUUGACUUUUAAAGUAAAGAAAAAAGACAGAGCCUUAAAAAAUUCCCAAGUAUCACCAUUUUCACCAAUGAUUUAUUACGUUAUGGGCAAUGAUAUUCGGCCGCCACGAGACCAUAACGAAGCCAGAAACACAUGCUUCUUCUACCGUUUCGAAGUUUUAAAUUUGAAAAUUAAAAAUACAUUUUGCCAUUGAAAAAUAUCAAAAUUAAAUCUAAAGAAUUUGAAAAUUCCAAAAUUCUUACCCGUCCCUCUCACUCGCUUAUUCUCUCUCUCUCUCUCUCUCACCUUCCCUCUCACUCACCCGAUCUGUCUCUCUCACUCACCCACUAGCAAGCUGUUUCUCUCAGGCUGUCACUCACCCACGAAACUUGUUGUCACGCCGCGCCCAUCGUUGACCAGCCAUCAUCGCUGUCACGCCAUGCCCAUCGCCGACCAGCCCAUCACCGACCACGUCGCCGACCAGCCUUACUUGAAGGUGUGCUUGACGAUUUUGGACCUUUUUCACCUACCUAGGUAAUUAAAUUUAGCAUGUUGAGGAAAGUUUUGAUUUAUUGUAUUUAUAUUUUAAAAUUAUUAGAAAUAAGAUAUUUGAAAUGUAGAUUUUGUUUGAAUUAUAUAUGAUUAAUACAAUUUAUUUUUCAUGGUAUAAAAAUGAAGGAUUUGAAAAAAAAAACUAAAGUCGAAGAUUUUGAAGAAUUAGAUGAACAACAAUUUAGAUGGAAAUAAUGAAAAAAACUGAUAAUGAUGUGGAUGUGAAACCAAAAAAGUAUGAUGUUGUUUGAUAAACACCAUUAUCUUCUUAUGAGCCAAAAAAGGAAGAAUUAGAUGACAACAAUUAAGGUGAGAUUAAACUACUUAAUUAUUCUACAAUUAAUUUAAUUUUAAUUUUAAUGUAUCUUUUUAUGGAUUUGCAGGAUUCAAAUGUACAUUAAAUGUACAAACACCAUUAUCUUCUGAGGUGGAUAUUGUAGUCCCAACGCAGGAGAGCAAUAAGGAUCCAGUAAAUUUAAUGUUCUUUGAUGUAAUAUUAUUUAAUUUUUUUUUAAUUUUUAAUGGUCACUAAAUAAUGGUCAUUAUUUAAGAACAUGUGAUCGCAUACCAAUUACAAGGAUGUGAUAUUUAUCCAUCGUUUCCUUUUGACUCUUACAUUGUAAGUUAUAAUCCAGUUUCUAUAUUUAUGCUUAAUUAAUUUUGCAUUUUCUGGAAUGUAAUAUGGUUCUUAUUUUGUACAAACUUGCAAUCCCAUCUAUGUCCUUAUUCUUCAUCUUGGAUAUCGUAUAAAGGUUCUCAAUAAGGGAGUUUUCAGCAAUUGCUACUUCAACAAAAUGAUAAUGGCAGAGAAGUUUGGAGCAGACUUAACAGAUUGAUCAUUGACUUAUUCUUUUGUUGUAUAAUUUUAGUUGUGUUUUGUGUAUUAGUUGGUUGGAUGAUAUUACUCUAAUGCUCAAUGAUUGAACAUGGAAAUAUUUUGAAGGUUUUUUAUCCAUAUAUUCAAAGGUUGAGCUUGUCAAUAACCAUUACAACAAUAAGAGUAGUUCAUAUAGAAAUGCCAAAUUAAAAAAAAAAGAUACAAUUAUUCACUUAAACAAAUGUUUCUAUGUCAACCUUCCUAGCUUCAAGCCUAACUGAACCAGGCAAUUGGUUGUUCAUUUUCCUCUCACAAUUGUAAGCAUUGUAUGCUGAUUCGGCAUCCAACAAUGAUCUGUAAGAUUGGAAUGAAUCAAAUACAUAUUAGCAGCAUAAAGAGAAAAAGAAAAGGAUGGAUUUUAGAGCAUAAAGAGAAAAAGAAAAGGAUGGAUUGAUUGGAAUGAAUAAAAUACAUAUUAGCAACAUAAAGAGAAAAAGAAAAGGAUGGAUUCUAUUUUUCUAGAAUAAAAAUCAAAUGCAAGUCACGUUUGGUUUGAUUUUAGAGGAGGGUUAAUGAAGCAAUAUAUGCUUUAUAGAAAAUAAAGAACCUUAGAAUGAAGCUGCAAUUACUGGAUUAGCAGAAGAAAAUUAGGGAAUUCUAUGUGGUAAAGAACUUAACAAUGCAGCUAAGACCAAAAACAAUUGCCUCAACUAAAGAAUUCACAGAAACGUGUGAUAUAUCAAACUACCCAGAAUAUGUUUGAAGAACAACUUGAAAAUCUUAAUACACACCAUAAAGCAAAAACAUAAUUACAACCAAACCAUAAGCUUUAACAUUUCACAAAGUAUCACACUUCAAAUAACUUCUUUCUAGUAAUUUUAAAUAUAAAUACGAAAAAAAAAAACCCAAAUACUUUUAUAAGCAAAGUAUCACAUACAAGGUUUCGUAAAGGCCGUGUCAAAAGAAUUUCCUUAACUGAUUAAAUAUACUAAUUUUAGGUGACAAUAAUCUAAUAAUAUUAAACUAAAUUAACUUAAUUUCGCAAAAAAAAAAUCAAAAAACGCAUAGAAUUACGGAUCAAGUCUAAUUAACAAUCAAACGUAGUAACCCAGAUGCAUUUAUGCCAAAAAGAAUGUUCAUAAGACUACACAAAACCACCCAAAAAAAAUUAUAAAAUAAUAAAAGCAAUAGCUGCGAUAGAUUUUGCCAGAACAAGAAACACAACAAAACAAAGAGAAUAAAUCAAUCAAGGGCAUAAAUAGAUUGAAUUAUAAAAUAAUAAAAGCAACAGCUGCGAUAGAUUUUGCCAGAACAAGAAACACAACAAAACAAAGAGAAUAAAUCAAUCAAGGGCAUAAAUAGAUUGAACAAAUAUUCUCUUUCUCAUGGUUGAUAUUUUAGAGACUUUUCUUUACCAUCUUACUUCUAAUAUGAAAUACUCCACGUACCAGCUCAAUUAUCAAGUGUACCUAGUGUAAAUCUGAGUAAAAUAUUGACAGUGAGCUUGUGGGUGAGUGAGAGGGGAACGAGCUUCGUGGCUGAGAGUGAGAGCCGAGAGGGACAGAGCGGGUGAGAGAGAGGGGGUGAGUGAGGGGAGGGAUAAGAAUUUAGAUUUUUUAAUUUGUUUUGAUUAGCUUUUAUUAUUUUUUAAUGGUAAAAUUUGUUUUUAAUUCUCAAAUCUAAAACUUCAAAACGGCAUAUAAGCAUGUCGUUUCUGGCUUCCCUCUGUAACGAGGGUGGCCGAAUAUCAUUUUCCAUAAAUCAUUUCUACGCAAGAGACACGAUGAGGGACCCACAAACGCGACAGAAUUGGAUAUCCCGAUUUUUUAAAAUGAGGAAUAUAAUAAAUCGCCUUCCAAGAGGCUUCAUCAAGAAUCAAGAUAUAUAGUAGUUAAGCACAGCCUCUCUCUCUCCCUCUCUUUGUCUGUUUCCUCUCUGUUCUAUUCAAUGAAAAUGGAGACUGCACUUUAGACUGUGCCUUUCUCCAUUGCUUUCUCUACAGCUAUUCUAGCCGUAGCAUGUGCCUGGUGGAUGCUACUGAAUUGGGUAUGGCUAAAACCAAAGCAGCUAGAAAAGUUCCUCAGAGAGCAAGGAUUCUCCGGUAACCCCUACAAAGUAUUUCAUGGAGACAUGAAAGAGCUUGCCCAGACCACUAAAGAAGCUGAAAGCAGACCCAUCAGCCUCUCCGACGAUAUCGCCCGGCGAAUUCUGCCUUUCCACUAUCAUAUCAUCACCAAUUUUGGUAAGCCUUCCUACUAAUUUAUCUCACUCAACUUUACUUGGUAAUAAUUUUAUUUUGCUUAUAUAUAAAUAAAAUUAAAUAAGAUUCAAGUUUUUCUAAUUUUAAAGGGAAAAGGAGAAUGUCACAUAAGUUCUUAAUAUUUCUUAUUUUUAUCACUUUGCUAUUUGAUUUUUUAAUUUUUUUUAUUACACCCUUAAUGUUAAAAUCGUAAUUAAAAAAAAAAGUUUUUUUUUACCGUUUUACAGUUAUUAUCUUAAUUUCACUCUAUCGGUAUAAUAUGAAUUUUUUUUUUUUUUUUUUUUAAUGUCAAAAGUCAUGUUACUCUUCAACAAUAAAAUUCAAACAUUAAAAUCAUAGUUAUGUAAAGAAAGUAAGAGUGAUUAAAAAAUGAAGAAUAGUAAGGACCAAUGUGUCAUUCUUCCACAAGGGAGAAGGGACCAAAAAGAAAAAAUGGGAUGGUUUUUGGAAACUUUCAACCAAGUGUCUGUUUCUGAAGAUUUCUUUUGUCUUUUAUAAUUAAGAGGCUUCAUCAAGAAUCAAGAUAUAUAGUAGUUAAGCACAGCCUCUCUCUCUCCCUCUCUUUGUCUGUUUCCUCUCUGUUCUAUUCAAUGAAAAUGGAGACUGCACUUUAGACUGUGCCUUUCUCCAUUGCUUUCUCUACAGCUAUUCUAGCCGUAGCAUGUGCCUGGUGGAUGCUACUGAAUUGGGUAUGGCUAAAACCAAAGCAGCUAGAAAAGUUCCUCAGAGAGCAAGGAUUCUCCGGUAACCCCUACAAAGUAUUUCAUGGAGACAUGAAAGAGCUUGCCCAGACCACUAAAGAAGCUGAAAGCAGACCCAUCAGCCUCUCCGACGAUAUCGCCCGGCGAAUUCUGCCUUUCCACUAUCAUAUCAUCACCAAUUUUGGUAAGCCUUCCUACUAAUUUAUCUCACUCAACUUUACUUGGUAAUAAUUUUAUUUUGCUUAUAUAUAAAUAAAAUUAAAUAAGAUUCAAGUUUUUCUAAUUUUAAAGGGAAAAGGAGAAUGUCACAUAAGUUCUUAAUAUUUCUUAUUUUUAUCACUUUGGUAUUUGAUUUUUUAAUUUUUUUUAUUACACCCUUAAUGUUAAAAUCGUAAUAAAAAAAGUUAUUUUUUUACCGUUUUACAGUUAUUACCUUAAUUUCACUCUAUCGGUAUAGUAUGAUUUUUUUUUUAAAUGUCAAAAGUCAUGUUACUCUUCAACUAUAAAAUUCAAACAUUAAAAUCAUAGUUAUGUCAUGAAAGUAAGAGUGAUUAAAAAAUGAAGAAUAGUAAGGACCAAUGUGUCAUUCUUCCACAAGGGAGAAGGGACCAAAUAGAAAAAAAAGGGGAUGGUUUUUGGAAACUUUCAACAAAGUGUCUGUUUCUGAAGAUUUCUUUUGUCUUUUAUAAUUAAGACAAUGUAAUUUUUUUUAAAAAAAUUAUAUAUCAAAAGCGGAUUGAUAUAGAAUUUUUUUAAUAAUCAAUAUAUCUUUAAUUUUUCCAUUUUGUGAUAUAUAUUUUUUAAAUAUUUUUAUAUUGGUCUUAGUUGACCGAGAGUUAUUUAUACCAACCAUGAGAAUUAAUAUAGUAGAACCUUGAAAUAUAAAUACUCCAUAAAGGAAUAAUUUUUUCAUAAUAAUAAAAAAUUAUGAUCCCAACUUAGAACCAGUUAUAAUUAAAAAUAAACUCUACAUUGUAAUAAAUUAUAUUUUUUAUAGGUUUUGUCUUAAUAAAUUUACCUCUACAUAGUAAUAAUAUUUUAAACAUAUAUUAUGUUACAUUAAAUAAUUAAAAUGGAAUAAAAUAUCUUUCUAAAAUUACUUGUGAUAAUGAUUUGUUCUUUAAAGUUGUAACUAUAUCUUUCAACUUGUGGGUAUGUAUUAAUUGGUCAGCAUAAACGCUUAAUAAUUGGUUAACAAAAUAAUUAAUUUAUUAAUAUCUAUACAUUGAAUUUGACUCACUUAUUAAUUUAUUAAUACAUGACAUAAUUUAUCUCUAUAUCACUUGUAUUAAGAAUAAUUAAGUAAAGACAAUAAUUUUUGUACUAUACUUCUAUUGACUUAUAAAUUCUUUAUAAGAAUAAAUUUUUCUAAUCCCAACAAUAUGACUAUAUAAUUGAUAAUGAAUAUUAGGACUCCUUCUCUUCUUUUGACUAUUAUUACUAUUUUUUUAAGUUAUAGUUAGAAUAAAUAUAUUUUUCUGUCUCUCCAUCCAUAUUGAUGACAAAAAAAUUUGAGAUUGUAUUUAAAUAGCAUUAGUCUAGGUGAAUGUAGAAUUUUAAUUAUAAAUAAAUUAAUAAAUUUAAAUAUGUUAAAAAAAUAAGACAAAAUAAGAUAACGAUACUGAUACGCUGACGCAGACAUAUGAAUGACGUCUGUGCUUAUGCGAGGAAGCCACGAAAAAUAAUAAAAUACGAGAAGGCUGUCCAAUUUUCUAGCUUUUUGACGCAGACAUAUAAUAAAAUAAUAAAAAUAUUCAUCUCGGAAGAAUGGUAAUGCGUACUUAAGAAAAAAAAUUGAAAAAACUAAAGGGUCCUUUUUUUUUUUUUUUUUUUAAUUAUAACAAGAUGAAGAUGCCAUAAAAUAAAAUAAAUUUUGCCUUUUUUUUUUCUAAGAAUAAUAAAAACAAAAAAACAUGAUAAGUUGAAACAUUCUAAUCCGUAACCCUUAUUGCUAAAAUUACAGGUAAGAAUUCUUUCAUAUGGAUGGGUCCAAGACCAAACAUACACAUCACAGACCCUAAAAUGAUAAGGGAAAUUUUUUUGAAGUAUGAUAUCUUUCAAAAAGCGAGAAGCCCACUUGUGAAGUUGCUGGUCACUGGGAUGGCAGACUAUGCUGGUGAACAGUGGUUUAAAGUCAGAAAAAUUGCCACUCCAGCUUUCCAUCAUGAUAAGUUGAAGGUUCGUUUUCACCUUUAUAGUUCGUUUAAUCACACACACACACCAUUUUCAAUAUGCCUGUUCAUAUUGUUACCUGACCUAUAACAUUGUUUGACAAUUUCUUCCAUUUUUUUUCAUAAGAAUAUGUUACCUACAAUUCAUAAGAGCUGUAACGACAUGCUGAGGAAAUGGGAGAUUUCGGUUUCAAAGGAUGAGUCCUGUGAGUUAGAUGUGUGGCCUCAUAUUCAAACUUUGACCGCAGAUGUGAUUUCUCGAACAGCAUUUGGCAGUAGCUUUGAAGAAGGAAGAAAAAUAUUUGCAGUGCUAAGGAAACAAAUUAAUCUUCUAAUUCAAGCUUCAUUUUUUGCUUAUAUUCCAGGAUGGAGGUAAUUUUAAUUAUUAAUUCAACUUAAAUUAUUCCUCGUAGUACUCUUGGUGACCUGAGCUGUGUUAAUUUUUUAAAGAUAUUAUAUCAGGUGUGUAUUUAUAAAACAACAUAAGAUUAGAAUUGGUCUUCUAAAUAAAGAAUCCUUAUUAUUAUAGUGUAGAAAAGUGUUGUCAAAUGUUUUAGCAUAUAAAUAAUUUCCGCGUGCCUUGCACUUAAUUAUGAGAAUUGUUUAUUGGUAGGUUUGUGCCUAAUAGACUGAAUAGAAAAUUGAAAAGCAACCACAAUGAAAUGGGAGAACUGGUAAAGGGUAUCAUUAAGAAAAGAGAGGAAGCUCUGAAAGUUGGAAAAGCCAGCAAUAAUGAUGACUUAUUGGGUAUAUUGAUGGAAUCAAAUCACAAAGAGAUUCAGGAGAAGGAAACUGGAAUGAGUAUUGAAGAGGUGAUUGAAGAGUGCAAGCUGUUCUAUCUAGCUGGGCAGGAAACUACUGCAUCAUUGCUUGUGUGGACAAUGGUUUUGUUAUGCAUACAUCCUGAAUGGCAAGAACGAGCAAGGGAAGAGGUUUGUCAAGUUUUUGGAAAUAGAGAACCAAAAUUUGAAGAGCUGAACCAGUUGAAAGUAGUAAGUGAUCUUACUCUUACUUAAAUAUCUAUAGCUUUUCUAAUUUGUCGAAAAUUUUGGGAAGACUCAAUUUCUUGUUAAUUUUCAGGUGUCAAAGUCUGGAUUUACAAAAUAUAAAUUUGAACUACCAUUAGGACUCUAGGCUGGGGUAGAAUUAUUUUUAUUCUAAUCAUAGAUCAAAUUUGGAAUUUGGAAUAUCCAAACAUCCGCACUUGAAUUUCUUAACCUGACCAGUGUUUGUCAAUAUUUUACUAUCAAAGAUAGAGGAAGCCACAUAAAUUAGGGAAAAUCUUGGGAGGUGCCAACAGAACUGUGUCAUCGUCCCACAACAUCAGAAUUAUAUUCUGUGAUUUUCACAAUUAAUUAUCCUUAAUAAAUUUGUUAUCAGUCACCAAGAACAAAGAAUUUCCUUGUUUGAAAAAAUAAUUCCAGUGUAUGGUGCAGGUAAGAAAAUUGAGUUCUAUACAAGGUACUUAGAUUGUGCAGUAGUUAUGGCCAUGGGGGUUGGUUACUGGAAAUGAUAAAACCUACAAAAAUGUCGAGGGUUCAAAUCCCUUCUUAUACAGGGAAUGGGAAGGGAUUUGUUAUAUAUGUAUGUAAUAUUUUAAAAAAUCAAAGUUUAAAAUUAACUAGUAGUGAUAGCUUAUUUUGCAAACCAAAAGA